GCCCAGGUGGCGAAAUUGGUAGACGCAGGGGACUCAAAAUCCUCCGCCGCAAGGUGUGUCGGUUCGAGUCCGACCCUGGGCACCA
rnacentral:tRNA from 1 species